rnacentral:rRNA from 1 species
CAUCACAUAGCGGAGGAAAAGAAACCAACAGGGAUUGCCUCAGUAACUGCGAGUGAAGCGGCAGCAGCUCAAAUUUGAAAUCCGGCCUCGGCCCGAGUUGUCAUUUGGAGAGGAAGCCUCGGUGACGGCCCCGGCACAGGUUCCCUGGAACGGGACGCCGAAGAGGGUGAGAGCCCCGUCCGCGGCCGGGCGGCCGUCGCCGUGCGAGGCUCCUUCGACGAGUCGAGUUGUUUGGGAAUGCAGCUCCAAACGGGAGGUAUAUUCCUUCUAAAGCUAAAUACCGGCCGGAGACCGAUAGCGCACAAGUAGAGUGAUCGAAAGAUGAAAAGCACUUUGGAAAGAGAGUCAAACAGUACGUGAAAUUGUUGAAAGGGAAGCGUUUGCCGCCAGACUCGACCGUCGACCGCUCCUCCGGUCCCUCGGGACCGGUCCACUCGGCCGGCGGUCGGGCCAGCGUCGGUUCGGACGGCCGGAGAAAGGCGCGGGGAAAGUGGCUCCCUCGGGAGUGUUUACAGCCCCGCGCGCAACGCGGCCAGCCCGGACCGAGGACUGCGUUCGCUAGGACGCUGGCGUAAUGGCGGCCAACGGCCCGUCUUGAAACACGGACCAAGGAGUCUAGCACGCGUGCGAGUGUACGGGCGUCAGACCCGAACGCGCAGUGAAAGCGAACGGAGGUGGGAGCUCUCCCGCGCACCAUCGACCGAUCCCGAUGUCUUCGGAAGGAUUUGAGUAGGAGCGCGUGUGCUGGGACCCGAAAGAUGAUGAACUUGCCUAGAUAGACCGAAGCCGCCGAAAGGCGGUGGAGGCUCGCAGCGGUUCUGACGUGCAAAUCGAUCGUCAAAUCUGGGUAUAGGGGCGAAAGACUAAUCGAAUCAU